rnacentral:rRNA from 1 species
AAGGAUCAUUAGAAAAAAUCAUUCAUCUCAGUGAUCACACACCUCUGUGGACCCCGACCCCUUGUUGCUUCCCGCUCUCCCCGCGGAGCCGCCCACCCCUCCGGGGGCUGGGUCCCGCGGCGGCGGGGGGCAGAACCCGAAACCCCUGUUCUCGCAUGCCCUAGGUCUGAACUGAAGCUUUGAAACAGUCAAAACUUUCAACAACGGAUCUCUUGGUUCCCGCAUCGAUGAAGAACGCAGCGAAAUGCGAUAAGUAGUGUGAAUUGCAGAAUUCCGUGAAUCAUCGAAUCUUUGAACGCACAUUGCGCCCUCUGGUAUUCCGGGGGGCAUGCCUGUUUGAGCGCCAACAAGACACACCUCGGGCCUCCCUCCCUCGCAAGGGGGCGGGUGGCACCGGUCAUGGGGGCUCGUGGCGCCAGCGCCACACCCUCGAAAUGCAUCGGAUGGCGGAACCCACCAGCCCGUGCCCGACGUAGUAAACUUCUUUCUCGACGGGACCACGCCUGGCAGUUCUUGCCGAUGAGACCCCACAUCAUUCCUGGCUUCAAAUCAGGUAGGGAUACCCGCUGAACUUAA